rnacentral:rRNA from 1 species
AGGGCAGAUCCAAUUUUCUGCCACCGAAUACAUUAGCAUGGGAUAAUGGAAUAGGACCCUGUCCUCCUAUUUUCAGUUGGUUUUGGCAGCGCGAGGACUAGGGUAAUGAUUAAUAGGGAUAGUUGGGGGCAUUAAUAUUUAAUUGUCAGAGGUGAAAUUCUUGGAUUUAUGAAAGAUUAACUUCUGCGAAAGCAUCUGCCAAGGAUGUUUUCAUUAAUCAAGAACGAAAGUUAGGGGAUCGAAGACGAUCAGAUACCGUCGUAGUCUUAACCAUAAACGAUGCCGACCAGCGAUUAGGAGACGUUGAAUACAAAACACCACCAUCGGUUGCGGUCAUCCUUGGCGUCUCGGUUUCGGCCGGGGCGCGGGGAUGGCUUAGCCCGGUGGCACCGGUGAAUGACUCCCCUAGCAGCUUGUGAGA